CAGUAGCCACGGGAAUACGAAGGGUGCAAGCGUUACUCGGAAUUACUGGGCGUAAAGCGUGCGUAGGUGGUUGUUUAAGUCUGCUGUGAAAGCCCUGGGCUCAACCUGGGAAUUGCAGUGGAUACUGGGCGACUAGAGUAAGGUAGAGGAUAGUGGAAUUUCCGGUGUAGCAGUGAAAUGCGUAAAGAUCGGAAGGAACAUCUGUGGCGAAGGCGACUAUCUGGGCCAUUACUGACACUGAGGCACGAAAGCGUGGGGAGCAAACAGGAUUAGAGACCCCCGUAGUCCCUGUCUCUUAUAC
rnacentral:rRNA from 1 species